CUCAGACUGUGUGCUCUUCCUAUUGUUCCUAAUCCAGAAGAGGAGGUUGCACAGAAGAAAACGAUAUCCCAGAAGACACUGAAGAAAUAAAAACUUCUGGCC